rnacentral:tRNA from 1 species
GGGGAUUUAGCUCAGUGGUAGAGCACUUGCCUAGCAAGCGCAAGGCCCUGGGUUCGGUCCCAAGCUCCA